rnacentral:lncRNA from 1 species
GCCAAUGGUAUUAUUUUAUGUAAAAAUUUGUUUCAAAAAAUUAAUAAAUACUGUUAAAUAAAUACAAAAUCAAAUAAAAUUACAUAAUAUAAAAGUUACAUUAUAUAAAAAUUAAAUGAGUUAACAACAACUAUAUGAUUAAAAAAGUCAGUUAUAAUUAAACUUUUAAUAAAAUGAUUUUUAAUUUUUUUAUAAACUUUUAUGUUAAACUCACCAAAUACUAAACUAAACACAACAAUUU